rnacentral:lncRNA from 10 species
CGGGCACUUAGCUGUGCAGCAACAAUGGCAAGCCUUUAGCCUGGUUGGGAGUGGCAAUGGGCGCCUCGCUGGAUCAGGAGCACAGAGGACACCCUGCCGGAUCUGGAGUGGUGGACAUCAGCCGCGGGUCUGCGAUGACAACCAUCAGCAGUGGUGGACUGCAAGCAGAAGCUCAGCUAGAGCUGUAAAAAACACUGACCAGAAGAGUGUACAGUUGCAAGAUUUAAUAGAGUGAAAACAGAGCUCCCAUGCGAUUGGAGGGGAUCCAAAGCGGGUUGCCGCUCCCUGCUCAAAUGCCUGGGUUUAUAUCCCCAUCAUUGUUGCUCCCCCUGUGCUCUCAGCUGAUAGAUGAUUUGACUAUUUCUUUACCUCCUGCUUUUAGCCUAAUUUGUAUUUUACUGAGUCCUCUUUACUACUUGAUUGGUCAGGUGUGAGCUGAGUUACAAGCCCCAUGUUUAAAGAUUCUUCAGAGGAGAAAGGAAACCUGUGACAUCGCAAAUGCCAUGCUAGACAUUCGACUAGCCUUCUAUGGCUAGACUACUCGCCAUAAAGAGGACCUCACAGAAAAACAAGAGGCUUGGGAAAAGUAGAGGUGACUUGGUAAAGGCUGCAGAAUAUGAAUGAAAAAGAAGCAAAAAAC